GGUUAAGCGACUAAGCGUACACGGUGGAUGCCCUGGCAGUCAGAGGCGAUGAAGGACGUGCUAAUCUGCGAUAAGCGCCGGUAAGGUGAUAUGAACCGUUAUAACCGGCGAUUUCCGAAUGGGGAAACCCAGUGUGACUCGUCACACUAUCAUUAACUGAAUCCAUAGGUUAAUGAGGCGAACCGGGGGAACUGAAACAUCUAAGUACCCCGAGGAAAAGAAAUCAACCGAGAUUCCCCCAGUAGCGGCGAGCGAACGGGGAGG
rnacentral:rRNA from 1 species